UUUAUUUAUUUAAAAAAUACAUUAAGUGGUUGCUAGGAAUGGCACCAGAUAUUAUGAUAUGAUAACAAAAAAGAAAUAAAAAAUAUGAUGAUGCUUCCAUGUGGAACUUGCGAUUUUGUUCAAGGCAACCAUAAAUUACAAAUACUGGUAGGGAUUACCUACCAGUACUAAUAUGUGGUUGGAGAUGAGACCAUGAGGACAAUGCAGACUGUAUGAGCCUGGGAGAGAGACUUACGGAGAAGGGACAUUUAAGCAAAAGCCUGCAAAAUGUAGAGAGAUAAAACAGAAGAGUGAGGAAAGAGCUUUCCUGAUUAAGAGGCAGUAGGAAAGUAUGGGAUGUACUAUGAAACCUGCAGAGGCCAGCGGAGCGGAGCACAGGCAGACGGGGAGAUGGUAGUGCAACAUGAGGUCAGCAAACGCAGGGGCCCCAGUCUUAUUGAGUUUGGUGUUUUUGACCUGACAGCAAUGACAAGUCAUUGUAGGAUUUUAAGCAGAGGAUACAGAAUCAUCUUGGUGGUUUUAAAAAGAUCUCCCUAGCCUCAGUUCAACCAGAUUGGAAACAUUUUACCUUUCUCAGUCUCCUGACUUCCUAUAACAAUAACUCUAGCAAGUUUUACAUGUGGGUUAAUAUUUUCUUCAUUUCUCCUCUCACCCUCCAGGAUGUCCAAAAGGGUUCUUUGGGAAGAACUGCAAAAGGAAAUGUAACUGUGCCAACAAUGACCAUUGCCGCAGGAUGUAUGGUGCUCAUAUGUGUGAGCCAGGGCGCUAUGGGAGGUUUUGUCAUCUGAGUAACUUGCAGGCACUUAAUUUGCUCUGUGUGUAAAGCAUGAAGGCACAGAAAAGUGCAGAGACUACUGUAGACGAAGGAAGAGAGUAAAAAAUAUUUUCUAUAGUUUUAUGUAUAUGACAAAUAUGUUAUAGCCUUUAGCCUCUUUAUAGAAUCUAGAUUUUAAUGAAUGAAAGAAAAAUGUUUCUAAUUUUGCUUUACAUCUGGUUAAUGUUUACCUUAAUUAAUGGGAGUGGAUUGUUAAUAGUCUUUUUAGGUAGACAUUUGAUACUUUACCAAAGUUGAAUACCUCGGGCCAGAACAAGUUUCUUUUAUUUCUCUCUUCCAGUGUGAAGCAGUCUCAUUCUCUAAGAUUUCUAAUUUUGCAUUUUGACUAUUAAUCACAUUUUUCAAAGGAUGCAAGAAAACACAACCACUAACAAAUACUUGAACCCAGCAGUAACUUUUAGAAUCUCUCCCAGUGGGAUAACUCUGAAUGUUCUCUAUCCCACCUUGAUGCUAUCUAUGUGCAAGUAUCUAUGAGCCUGCAACAGUCUUCACCCUGCUCCUCUACCUAUUUCACGUCCUCUUCUCUUUUUGUUGACAGACUAAUGCCUCUGAAAAUCUUUCCUGAUUGAACUUCAGUGUUUUAGUCCAUUUGGGCUGCUACAACAGAAUACCAUAAGCCAGGUUGUCCAUAAUCAACAAAUACUUGUUUCUCACAGUACUGGAGACUGGGAAGACUAAGAUCAAGACACCAAGAUUUGGUAUCUGGGGAGGGCUUACUUGUUGAUUCUUAGAUGGCAUCUUUUCACUGUGUUCUCAUGCAUGGUGGAAGGGGCAAGGCAGUUCCCUGGGGUCUCUUUUAAGAGCACUAAUUUUAUUCAUGAAAGCUCCAUCCUCACAACAUAAUCACUUAAUCACUGCUAAUACCGUAGCCCUGGGAGUUAGGAUUUCAACAUAUGAAUUUUGGGAGCACAAAAACAUUCUAACCAUAGAACUACUUAAUACCAUAACCAUCUCUUGAUAACAGGCACCUUUUAGAGUCUUAUGUUUUAUUUUUAAUCAAUGUCCAUGAUUCUCAUCUAUUUUAUAAAAGCCAUGUCCAUAGGAAAGAUAAAUUAUAAAUAUACCAAUGAGAGAGCCAGUGAAGUCAUCAUAGAACACUGAACCUGGAGCAUGAGGAAACAUUAGGCUUAGACAAGCAACAUAGAAGAGAAGGGGAAAGGUGUGGGAAACUAUGAGCAAUAGAGGUGCAGAUGGUAUGUUCCAGAAUGUUAUAUACCUCCUAGGAUAUGCCAAGAGAAGAAGACUGACCUAGAAACAAGGAUAAUAUUUGUAUUAUUAUUCCUGUAGUGUAACAAGACACAUCCCACUUUUAGUAUUAACUUUAGAAUAUCUAAAAAGGUUAUAUCAGAUGUUAUGGCAAAAAAAAUUGAAUCAUUAUUGAUCUGGUCAAAAAGGUAAAGGGAUAACUUUUCAGAAACAUCAAGUUGAAGUUUUUAGGGUUUAAUAAUAUUGGCAUAGCAGAUAUUUAUUCAUUUGCAUGCUGUGAGGAGUUGAUGCACAGGAAAAAAAUCAGCAAAUAUGUUUGUUGUGUUGGUGGUGGUAGUGGUUAGCAUUUUAAAUAUGACUAUCUUUAGGGAAAAAUGAUACAUUCUAUUUCUUUGCGACUCCCUUAUUGCUUGGACUUGAAGAUUUAUUUAUUAAUGUCACUUUCCUGGUCUUCAAGACCUUGAGUUUGCAACUCUGUAUAUUCGUUUUUUAGUCCUGCCAUAACAAAGUACCACAAACCGAAUGGCUUAAACAACAGAAAUGUAUUGCCUUGUAGUUCUGUAAGCUAGAUGUCCAAGAUCAAGGUGUCCACAACCCCCUGAAGGUGCUAGGGACAGAUCUGUUCCAGGCCUCUCUCCUAGUUUCUGGUAGUUCCUUGGCUUGUGGCAACAUAACUUCAAUCUUCAUAUGGUACAUGUCUCUGCAUACAAAUACUCGCUAUUUAUAAGGACAGCAGUCAUAUUGAAUUAGAGGCCAUCCUAUUCCAGUAUGACCUCAUCUUAACUACUUAUGUAUGCAAUGAUUCAGUUUCAAAUAAAUUUACAUUCUGAAGUGCUGAAGGGUUAGAACUUCAACAUAUGAAUUUUUGGUGGACACAUUUCAAUGCAUUACAAACCCCACUUUCCCAUAUUUCCAAAUAUAUUCCAGUAGUAAUAUGUUCUUAAUAUACAAAUGGUCACAUUUAAGCAUUUCUCUGUGUCUGUGUUAUCUUCUGAACCAUAAUUCUAUGUGCUGAACCAGAAAGAAUAGGGCAUGAAGGACAAUUCUGAGUGAGGAUUUAGGAAUGAGCAAGAAGAGGCCUACAUUAAGGCAGGCAAUAGCCUGAGAGACCCUGGGACCUGGUGGAUGUAGGAAAGGAUCUGAAACUUGGAAGCCAUAGAAAAGGAAAUAGAGGAUCAUAUAAUUUAUUAUCUACAUUGGGAAACCUGAAAAGGACUCUGUUAACUUUAGAGGUAGCUCUGUACUAUCCCUGGCAAUUGGGACUAGGAUGGCCCUACAUGAUGGCAUCAUAACCACCACUUUGAAUGAUUUCUACUAAUGUCUCUUUCCAUCCACUGGAAAGUCAAGUGUUCUCUCUAAGCAGCUUUGUACAGCAAAGCCUAUGCGGGCACACAGUGCAAUUACCUUGAGCCUGGAGGCCACUUGAAGGAUUUUUUACUUGAUAUGUCACUUGGACAUCUGUAAUAGGGGAGAAAAUAAUGUCAGAGGGAUAUUUCAGAAAAGGAAUUGAAUUACUGUAACACUCCUCAAAGAGAAAACUAUGGGUAUGUUUUCCUGAAUGCAAAGGUGUGACUUUUUCAUAUUAGAAUUCCUGUGCUGCCUUCCAUCCCUAACACUCAAUGGCAUAGAGAAAAUAAUGAAAGGAAGGCGAGUACCAUUUGCCAAAGAUGUGGCCAAGAUAACGCUGCUGUCACCAUGAAAGCUUUGUGUUAUCUACAUGAUGUAAAAUUAUUUCUGAUUACCAUAGAAUGGAAGGGAAUGAAAACAACAGCCAGCCUUCUCGUAAGUGCUUGUCCAUCAUCUCCAUGCUGCAGCAGGAUGAAUAUGGGGCUUGGCAGGCCUUAGCAUUCUUUGGAGAAUAUUAACUAUAGGCACCAAUGGAGCACAUUGAGAAGCAAUUUCUCUCCCGGAAGCACCAAAGCCUUUUAAGUAGUUCAGGCUUCACUGUUCACGUCCAGUUGCCAAAAAGCAAAUGAGUUGCCUGAUUUAAAAGACAUUUGUUUCCUUAUUUUUUUGGCAGUCAGGAUGAUCCUCUUGUUUUCCCCAUAAUCAGGCCCCACAGAACUACGUGCCUGUGCACUAACAAUUUAAAAUAAACAAAGCAUGGUUUUCAGGUGACCGCUUUGCCUCAAUUUGCUUGUAGACUGUCCCAAGGGUGCCUACGGAGCUGGCUGCACUUCAGAAUGUCAGUGUGUGGAGGAGAAUACCCUGGAAUGCAGUGCCAAAAAUGGUAGUUGCACCUGCAAAUCUGGUUACCAAGGCAACAGAUGCCAGAAAGUCUGCCCAGAUGGCCUCUGGGGACCAGAGGGCUGGUUCUCCUCUGCACCCUGUGAAAAUGGAGGUCAGUGCAACAAAAAAACUGGAAAUUGUGACUGCACUCCUGAUUACACAAGAAAAUCCUCUACCAUAUGGUACCCGAAAGGCACAUAUAGUCCAUAUAGUCCAAAAGAUGUGUAAGUGCCUAACUGUGGCAUCUGUGACACCAUGAUUGGCACCUGUAUCUUCCCUCCUGGCUUCACUGGGGCCGACUGAAGUCAAACUUGUCCUGAAGAUCACUAUGGGCAGAACUGUGUCAGUGGUGUUCCUGUGGCUCAGGACAAUGUGACCCAGUGACUGGCGUGUGUCAGUGUCCACCUGGCCGAAUGGGAACCAGGUGUGAGGAAGGUAACAAUGGGUAGGGUCACCUUCUCUGUCCAAGCACUAAAUUAGCUAUGCUGCGAAAGCAGAUUUGGUGCCAACGAAGAUAAUUAUAUGGACAAUAUUUACAAGAAUGUUUUCUGUUAGUGUGGCUUUCAAAUAACAUGAAAGUACAUGCUCCUGAGCCGGGCACGGUGGCUCAUGCCUGUAAUCCCAGCACUUUGGGAGGCCGAGGAGGGCGGAUCACGAGGUCAGGAGAUCGAGACCAUCCUGGCUAAGACGGUGAAACCCCGCCUCUACUAAAAAUAUAAAAAAUUAGUGGGGCAUGGUGGCAGGCGCCUGUAGUCCCAGCUACUCAGUAGGCUGAGGCAGGAGAAUGGCGGGAACCCGGGAGACAGAGCUUGCAGUGAGCCGGGAUCGCCCCACUGCACUCCAGCCUGGGCGACAGAGCAAGACUCCGUCACAAAAAAAAAAAAAAAAAAAAAAAAAAAAAAAGUACAUGCUCUCAUAGCACUAUAUAGAAAAUAGCUUACUGGAAGAUAAGCACAAAUUGGAAACAAAAGUAAAGAAUAACUUAUGCAUGCUCUUGACUGGGAAGAAAUUUUCAGAUAACAUUUGUUAACUUUUAUAAAACUGCCAAAAAUUGUGUGUUGAAGAUGUCUAAUUAUAAGAACUACAGAAUUUUAUAUCCCCUUCAAUCAGAAGGUUGAACCUGAAGAGGCCCCCUGAAAUCUAUAAGAAAAAUGGGAGACAAGGAGAAAAACAUAAUCUUUGUUGAAAACUGCAAAAUUUUCUUAUCCUAAUUGUAGUAUUUAUUGUUACUAUCAUAAGGAGAGAAGAGCUGUCAAGUUUCAGAAAACAGGGAUUUUUCAGGAGAAUACUGGGCCCCUGUGGAUCUUAAGUAGGGCCAGCAGAGCAGCCACUUCUCCGUGGCACACACAGAGAGCAAAACUAAGGACACUUUCCUGAAAAAUAAAGAUUGGGUGAAUAGGAGUGCUAUUGAAACUUCUCUGAAUCCCACUGAACAUCUUAGAGUGGAGGAAAAGUGGGCAAAAACAAAACAAAACAAAACAGAACAAGAAUUAUACAGACAUACCAUGUUUUUAACUCUGCACUAGGACAGAAAGGAAUCUGUGGGUAGUUUAGCAGCCUUGCAACUAAAGAGAAGCUCAACACACACAAAUAUCACACACACACACACACACACACACACACACAUACACAUACAUACAUACCACACCUUGUGUUAUAUGGAGCUGCACUCUGGACGAAGAAGGCUUUCUUCUAGCUGAGAUCAUUUUUCUAACCCUAAAUCAACACUAUCCUUCCAGAAAUAUCUGGUGCAUUAAAAAAUGAAGCUUGUACAAAAAAAUACUUCUCUCAUUUUACAAACAAAAAAUGUAACUGUUCAAAGCUUCCCUUGCUUUUUUAGUGCAAAUUCGGUAAGAAGGAAAAAGGAAUAAAGGAAUAUGAAAAAGAAAAGGCAGAUGAAACAAGAGCAGAAAAGUUUUGCUGUGGAGCACAUGAAGAUAUUAACCAGAAUCUCUUCCAAGAAUUCAAAGGAUGUAAUGAAAAAGUGUUCUCUAUAAAAUGUGAGUGCAAUGCAGAGAUACAGGGGUUCAUGGAAUAAAUGAAAAGACAACAAAAGGAAAUGAAAAAGUAAGCUGGCAGAGCUCAAAAAAGAAGUGGAAAUGAAAAUUGAACCUCACAUCAUAUAAAUGAAGGCCACAUUGGGAGCAGGUAAAGGAAGGACAGAAUUUGCUGAUAGUACAGCCAGGUAAAAAAAAAAAAAUGAGGAAAAUAAAAAUAAUGAAAUGGAAAAGAAAUGAGAGAGAAAUGUAUAAUUGGAAGAGGAAAAUGUUCAGAUAUAAUAUUCAAGGUUUUUCCUUUGAAAUAAAAGAUCUGAUGCUACAUAUUGAAUGAAUAUAUUUUAUCUCGAAAUAAUAGUUACAAUGGCUCAAAGGCAAGGGGAAACUCCAUUGAGGAUAUAAGGAAAAAAUAUGAGCUUACUUAAGAAGAAUGAGAAAAAUCAGUCUGACUUUUUACCUCACAGCAAUAUUCAUUGCCAACAUAUGGCUAAUCAAUGCCUAUUAAGUUCGUGAGGAAAAAAUGUGACAUGUAUUUUAUACACCGUUAGCUGUUAUUCAAAUAUAACAUGGUGGCAAAUUAACCACUUUUUAAAAAGUUGCUGGAAAUAUAGUAGCCUUAAAAUAGUUUAAAGAAACAAUUGCAAGAUAAAUUUAAGCAGCCAAAUAAUAAAUGGGAAAUAUCUGAUAAAAAGACUAUUAGUAAACAUUGCAUUCAUCUUAAUUAAGGCUAAGUUUAAAACAAUUGUGGGAAUUAUGCCUACAUGAUAGAAGAUAAAUAUUAUAAAUUAUAACAAUUGUAGAGAUUUUAACGUAGUGCUAACAAGGCAUAAACUGGAAAGACAGAGAAGGCAAAGGGGUAUAGGUAUACUGGUCUUAUUUCCUCAUUAAAGUUUGUGGGGUACGUGGAAGAGAUCUGUGUCAAAACAUAUUAUUUAAAUAUAACAAUUCAGUAAGUGUGUUUAAGUGUAUAAAGGUACAUUCUAGAAUUUAGACUGCUUCAAUUGAGAUGUUAAGAAUAAAAAUACACCCAACUAAAAUCAGAUGGAGGAGCGAAAUGAAAAAAAAUAAGAGAAAGCAGAAUCAUAUUAAUUUCAUUACCAUUUAUACUGAGUUAACAUGUACUAAAUAAAGAAAUUUACUAUAUUAUAUAAUGUCUGCACUAUCUAAACUAGGUUCCCUAAAUUAUGUAAGAGUAUAUUUAUAAGGCCCAUGUAGAGAACGAUGGAGUGCACACACCUUUUCCUAUUGCUCUCUUUCAACAUAGUAAACAUUCCACACAAUAUAGAAAACAAACAAAAGUUCCUGAAAUAUGAAGAAAAGAAGGCAGAUUGGAUAAGAACCUUAGAAAUCUAGGAAACAACAUGAUGGUGAGUUCCCUGGUUUUGUUUUGUUUUGUUUUUUGUCUCAUAUAUCCCAGACUGAGUGCUGGAGAAACCUACAACCCAGGUGGGCCAAUGGGUACAGACAAAGGUCUAAGAUACAAUUGAUUUCUCUAGUCAAAGGACAGGAAAGGGGGCAGUCUCGCAAUACAGAAAACUUUUAGAAAAUAACUGGUCUUCUUCAGGCAAACAUUACGAAAUGGAACUGUGUCCUCAACCCCAAUCCCAUGAGCAAGGGCCAAAUGAGGAGUGUACACUUCAAACCCCAUCCUGAUAUGAGAAGGUACCCCUCUCUACCCCACACACCAGGAUUGUGUAAGAGAAGGCAUCGUGGGGAGUUUGGACUUUCGUCCCUCCCAGAUAGUAACAAGCCGUCUAACUAUUCAGUGUCCAUGGUGACCAUGUGAUGUGAAGAGUGUGGACUUUCACCUCCACCAGAUAGCAAGGAGACAUCACUCCUACCUUCUGGGUGGUAUCAGAGGAGGUCUAGUAGAGAGUCAGGACUCCCACAGCCACCAAGCAGUAAUGAAUGUAGUGUCAGUGGAGAUCAGGUGGGAGCCAUAGGAUGCACCUCUAACCCUAUCAGUGACAUUGGUAUUAGCAGAGGCCUAGUGAAGAGCUGAAUUCCCAUCCUGCCCCAGCAGGAAACAGCCCCAUUUAUCCAACCUCCUACUUGGUGGCCAUGUAGGGAACUUGAACCUCUACCUGGUGAACCCCUAUUCUCACCAGUGUAAUAUAGGAGGAGGAGGCUUGCUAAAAUGGAAAAGUUAAAUGAGAUCCAUAUUCUGGUAUCAUAAUAUUCAAAAUUUCCAGGUUUCAGUUUUUAAAAAUUCGUCAACCAACAACUUGGAGAAUUUCAACUUAAGGAGACAAUCUACAGAUGCCAACACAGAGAGGACACUAAUGUUAAAUUUAUCUGACAAGAAUUUUAAAGCAUUUAUCAUAAAAAUGCCUCAAUGAGCAACUACAGAUAUAAUUAAAACAAAUAAAAAAUUAAAAGGCUCAGCAAAGAAUAAAAGACCUUAAGGAGAACCAAAUGGAAAUUUUAGAACUGGAAAAUAAAAUUGCCAAAAUAAAAAGCUCAAUGGAUGAGUUCAACAUCAGAAUGAAGUGGACAGAGGAACAAACCAAUGAACUUGAAGGAAUGAUGGAAAUUACCCAACCUGAACAACAAAGAGAGAAAAAAAUAGCAACCAACAAACAUACACACACAGCCUCAGAGACCUGUAGUACUAUAAGAAAAUAUCUACCAUUAUGUCAUCUGAGUCCCAGAAGAGGAAAAAGAG